UGGAAAUCAAACCACCGUGACAAAUGCAGUAAAACAGAGCCUUUGUAAUGAAAUGCUUCAAAACAGAAUCAAGUAGGAGAAAGCAGGCUACAGCAACAUGAAAAAUUCUGCCAACAAAUAUAAUCUACAGGUCAUGCAUUGCCUUAUAGAAGGUCUCUUCUGAAGAAGGGUUACAUGGGAUUUCCACACAAUGGACUGUGUUCACAGCCUGCUGCCUUUGCAUGCCUGACACACCUGGAUUUGGAUGGAGAGUUUGUUGACAGUGCCUGUCCCAAGUUGGGUCCCCCCCGCAAAUCAUUGCUUCUGACAGGAGCUCCUCUUCAGACAGCAAUAGUCUUCAGUAAUUUAAAAGAAACAUUUUUUCAUUAUCUUCUUAUUUCAGGGCUAUGCAGUGAUCACCCAGCAGACAUAUGAAAAUAAGAUUCAAUUGGAUUGUUAAGAAUUCAGCAUUAGGCGAGCCUUGAAAUGAUUAUGCUUUGCUCUGAACGAAAGGGAAAGUCAUAUUGUUAUGCAUGAAUUAAUGUAGGCCAUGACCUACCAGGCCUGCACACAGAUCAAAGCAGGUGCUUGCCCCAAAGCAGAUUGAAGGUGGGGGGUGUAGCCUAACAAAGGCUGUGAUCUUUCCAAGCAAAUGGCCAUGGUGCUGUCUCUUCGUAAGAGCAUCAGCCACAAGGUUCCAGAGUCUGGGACAUGGGUGCUAGGAGAUGCUGCUAUAUCAGAAAGGGCACUGAAUCAUAUGUCAAGCUGGUCUGUGACCUGAGUAGGCAAUAAAGAAGUAGAAAGUACACCCCCACACUUCCCCUUCCCAUAAGAAAUCUCAGAAUAACGUUUGGGGAUAGAAGCUUUGGCAGCUAAGAACUCAAGGGUUCAGAGUUGGGUUGAUAAUGGGAACUUGGCUUUUCCUAUGAGACAGGGGGAAAAAAAACCACCUCUUCCAGGGAGAAUAAAGACCAAACAUGUAAUAAUCUUUGUACAGUGGGGCUAGACAUGAUUGUGAAAUUUGACUGACCUUGUGAAAGUUAAUGUGUAUUAGACACGAAAAUAAGCAGUUGCCUGGUCUUUCUGACCAUCCUGCAUCAUGGAGGAAGAAGCCUUGUCUCAAAGCCUUGUGCCUGACUCCUGAGCCAACCAACAUGCUUUCCUACAGCCCAAUACUCCAGCAUCUGGGUCUGGUACCCAUCUGCCUGAGCCAAGGAAAUGUCCAGCGCUGUCAGCUGUCAGUCUGCACUGGGUUGGAAAGAGUGCUGCCGCAGUCUGAACACGCGGCAAGGAAAGGGUGAUGAAGAGCUACUGUUUCACGACUUCGGUCUCCUCCGUUGUCCUCUUGGCUAGAACCAAGCACUGUGCUUGAGACAGUAAGAAACGGAGCUCAUUCCAGGGCCAUCAGAAGAACCCCAGCAGGCAGGGCUUUGUGAAGCCUUCUGAAAAUUAGCAGCAAUUUUCCCAGAGAUUCUUUUUUUUCCCCCUCAAGGUCUGAUUUUUUUCUCUCUUGUUUUGUUUUUUAUUGAAAAAAGUUUUAAAACAACAUUUUUUUUUGGCGUUUUAAAAUCACAGAUGCCUGGGAUUCAGUGCCUCCUGAGAUCUUGCUCUCUCUUUCUUUUUUUUUUAAUUAAAUUAUUUCAUUUAUUUUACAUACUGACCACAGUUUCCCCUCCUUCCUCCCUUCUGUUCCCUCCCCCCAUACAACAUAUUUUGACCAUAUUUUCUCCUCUCACUAUUCCUCCCAGAUCCUCCACCUCCCCAUCUACCAAACUUUAGAUUCUCUGUCUCUUUCUCCCCAUCUCCUCUCUCUCUCUCCCUCCCUCUGCCCUCCCUACUUCCCCUCUCUCACUUCAAAACAAAACCAAAACAAACAAAACAAAACAACACAUGCAAAAGAAAACAAAAACAAAUAAUCAAAAGAUCAAAAAGACAAAACAAUGCUCAACUAAAGCAAAAUAAGACAAAAAGUCUACAAAAAUACCUUCAAGUUUGUUUUGUGUUGGUCAACUACUGCUGGGCACAGGGUCUGCUUCGAAGUGUGGCUAAUAGACCUAGUGAGACUCCAUUGGAGGAAACUGAUUUUUCCUUUGCCAAUAGGUAUCAUUUGCAGAUUGUUUCUUGGUUAGGGGUAGGAGCCAGUGUCCACUUCUCUAACUCAGUGCUGGAACCCUGUCUUGUUUGAACCUGUGCAGUCUUGUGUGUGUUGCCACAUUCUCUGUGAGUUCAUAUGUGUAUCAGUCCUGUUGUGUCUGGAAGACACUGUUUCCUUGAAGUCAUACAUCACCUCAGCUCUUAUCAUCUUUCAGCCUCCUUUUCCACAUAGAUCCUUGAACCUUGAAAGGAAGGUGUAGACACACUGUUCUCUCCCACCCACCAGUUACUGAAUAAUCACUCAGAGGCGUAACUUAUAAAUGCUCGACCAAUAGCUCAGGCUUAUUAUCAACUAGCUCUUACAUGUAAAUUAACCCAUAAUUCUUAUCUAUGUUUAGCCACAUGGCUUAGUACCUUUUUUCAGUAUGGUAGUCUCAUCUUGCUUUUCUGCAUUUGCUGGUGACUCUCUGAUUCUGCCUUCUUCUUCCCAGAAUUCUCCUAGUCAGGCUCUCAUACUCAAUCUUUUUUUGCCUAGCUAUCAGCCAGUCAGUUUUUUAUUAGCAAAUGAGAGUAAUAAAUAUUCAUAGUGUAGAAAAGAAUUGUUCCACAGUGGGAAGGGUUUGAUGAAGAUAUCCCAUUUAAGACUAGGUGCUCUAAAGUCUCUCACUUUCUGAACAUUGUCCAGUUGUGAGUCUUUGUGUUAGUUCUUAUUUACUGCAACAAGAAACUUUUCUGAUGGAGGCUGAGCAAGGCACUGAUGUAUGGGUAUAGCAAUAUGUCAUUAGGAAUCAUUUUAUUGUUGUUUUCCUUUAGCAGAAUAGUAGUAGUCUCAGGUGCUUGGCAACCCAAGAAAUGUCAGACAUGGGUUCCAUCUCAUGGUGUGGGCCUUACAUCUAAUCAGAAAGUGGCUGGUUAUUGCCAAAACAUUUGUGCUAUUAUUGCACCAGUUUAUCUUGCAGGCAGGUCACUGUUAUAGGUCACAGGGGUUGCAGCUGGUAGAUAUUGAUGAUUACCCUUCUCUUCCAGUGGUGUGGGAAAUACCUUCCAGCACCAUGAAUAAUAGCCAGUAGGGUGUGAAGCUUCUAGAUAGGCAUCAGCUCAAUUUCUCUAAGUUCAAUGAAAUAUGUAAGCCUUUUUUUUCAGUAAUAUACCCUUAUCAAUGUCUAAAUAUUUACUUGUUACUCUUAAAGACUUAUUUUUACUGGAUUCAGACUUAGAAGUAGAAGUUCUCAGCAAGGACAGCCUAUAUCUCUUGGAAAUCUACCCCUGGUGUUUUCCUUUGGCUUCCUUCAUUAUCUUGGCCAAAAGUUUAAUAUAUUCUUCAGUCUGCUCCUUGUUUAGCUUAGUGCAUUGUUUCUUCAGAACAAUAAAUCAACAUUUGAGUUACAGAACAUGUGGAGUAAGAGAUGCUGAAUCUUGGGCUUAUCAUAUUCUUUGUUUAAGGGCUUUCUUUCAACAUGUUGGAGGACAUCAUCCUCUUUAGAGAGACUGAAAGCUUUUGAAUCCUGUUAGCUCUUUGUGGUCUCAGCUGCUGAGGCACAAUAGUAUCUGUCAGUCCAAGAAUAUCCUUCUCUCGUGUGUUUGCAAUAACCAAGUUGAGAACACUCAGACUUGUAGGUGGAAGUUUUCCUGCCCCAACUGCCUGCUCCCAAAUAACUAGCAGCUGCUUCCCAAAUAACUGACUUAGAGACUUAAUAUAAAUUAUAAAUGCUUGGUCGAUAGCUCAGGCUUGUUAUUAGCUAACUCUUACAUUUAAAUUAACCCAUGUUUCUUAUCUAUGCUUUGCUAUGUGGCUUGGUACCUUUUCUCAGUAUAGCAUGCCCAUCUUGCUCUCUCUGCAUCUGCCAGUGACUCUCUGACUCCACCUUUCUUCAUCCCAAUAUCCUCAGUUUAUUGUCCUACCUAACUUUAUCCUGCCUUGCUAUAAGCUAAUCAACUUCUUUAUUAACCAAUGAGAGUAAUACAAAAUCACAGUAUACAAAAGGAUUAUUUUGCAACAUAGACUAGCAUCUACAAUGCAUUCUCAAACUGACAUGCUCUUCCUCUCUUCAGUUCUCCUUGGGUUACAACUAGAAUGCCCCAUAUUAAAUAGCAAGAGCACUCUGCUGUGUGUUAAGACACCUUGUGUCUUAGGAAAACCUUGUUUGUCCUUCCCAUCACUGAUCAGACCGUGCACCCUUCCACUCUUCACCGACAGUGUCUGCAGAUACUUCUGUGCCCAUGUGCUUCUCAUGAAAAGUACAAAUCUUGUAUUCAUUGUCCACUUCAAUGAGCUUCUGAAACCUGAUGGCUGGGAAGGAGGUAUUUGGCUUCAUCUUGACACAGACCCACCUAGGAAGUAACACAAAAAGGAACUCCUCAGAGAUUCUUGGUAAACUGCCACAAGCCCAUUUUGUAUUGGCAUACAAGACUGCACUUAGAUUAUUUCCUGGGAACCACUUCUUUAUUGCUUCUUAUGGUCUAAUCAAGCUCUCUUGUUUUUUUUUGUUUGUUUGUUUUUUGUUUUUUCAAAACAGGGUUUCUCUGUGUAGCUCUGCUGUCCUGGAACUCACUCUGUAGACCAGGCUGGUUUCCAACUCAAAGGUGUAUGCCACCAUGCCUGGCCUAGCUCUCUACUUAUAGAACUCACUGUUCUUUCCCUGGCUCUAAAAUAAGCCCUAAACUCCUUUCUUCUGGACGGGGGAGGGGGAGAAAAGAGAGGAACAGAGGAAAAGAGAGAAGAGGGGAACAGAGAAGAGGAGAGGAGAGGAGAGGAGAGGAGAGGAGAGGAGAGAAGAGGAGAGGAUGGGGCAUGGCAGGGCAGCACAGGACAGGAAGACAUAUAGACAAAAUUUUGGUUGCAGUUUAGGGAAUUUGUGUUUUUUCUAUCUCACUUCAUCUCUAUUUGUGAACCCCAGCAAUCUCAUUGACUACAGAAUAAGACUCUUUGUUCUAUAACCUCUUUCCAGAAAUCUCCAAUUUUUCAUCUUAGGCCUGGGACCCAUCUUUGGAAAACUUUCAAUAUUAUAACACACAUAAGAGUCAUUGCUGAGCUUGGAGAUAUUGAGAUAGCCUAUUUCCUUUAUAUAAUGCAUGCUAAUUUAUAGGCAUAUAUGCCAUAAUUUGGUAUAUGUGAUAAAUUUGUAACAAAACAAGUAAAAGUAAUGUGUUACUGAAGCUCAAAAACAGCAAUUUUUUUUCUUUAUUCACACAAAAAAAUGUUUAAAGUGAAGAUACUAUUUGGGGUGUUUAUUGGGUUGGUAAAGCUAUAGAGGAAAAAAUGUACUUGGACGUAAACAUGGUAUGAAAGCCAAAUAGAAGCCAUUUUGUUACGCUAGCUGCUUCUGACAAAGUACCUUCAUUUCUAUGAGCAACACUCAAUACUUUAAAACAAGACGAUUCUCAACACGAAGGGAUGGCUGUCACCAUUUAUUUUCUACUUGCUUUGUGAUUACAAGUGCUGAUCAUAGCUCACAUAGUUGUAAAAUACAAACCUGCUAUCAUAGCUUGCAUGUAAUUAGUUCUAAAUGUGUGGCCUAUUUACAAUAGCAAGAAAUACACUGCGUACCACAAACACUUAAAAUGCUAGCUAUUGCCAUGCUUUUACGACAGUCAUUAACUGAGCCACAGCAGCAAAUAUUUAAUGUGACAGCUGCAUUAGCAUACUGCUCUGCUGAUAAAGAAGCAUGCCUCGCUAUUUGCAGUGUGCUGUGCCAUGGUGAGCUGUACACACUGACAAGAUGCUGUCUAGAAGCCUUGAGCAAGGAUGGAAUUCCUGCAUCCUCUACUGUUCAGAGAAAUAAGAAACCAUUUUCACUCUGACAUUGAUGGGUCAUUUCCUGCUUCUAGAAGGCACACCUCUUACCUAGACACAUUUGACACAUGCCCCCGACUUUUCUAAAUCUUCAGAACAUUUGGAGUUUCUGGAUAUCUGUAUUCUCUUUUAUCUCAUGCCUUGUUUCACAAGGAGGUACCACAACCAGGAUGAUGAUCUUUUGGGAUUCAAAACCAUUGUAUUUAAAAUUAAAAUGAUUCUCCAUCCCUUGAAUGUAUAGAAAUCUGGAUAUUUGGAUCUCAGACUCACUACUCCUAAUUCCAAAUGUAGAAACUUAAUGACUGUAUUAGUUACCUUUGCUUAACUAUGACAAAACAUGACAGAAACUAAUCAUGAGAGAAAAUAUUUAUUUUGACCCAUAGCUUCCCCCAUGGUGGUAGGGAAGGCAUAAGAAUGCUAAUGGCAUAACAACGGAGCAUGUGAUCAAGGCCUGUCAUGUUGUGGAGGACCAGUAAACCAAGAAAGGGACCAUAACCAGGAACUAGACACAACCUUCCAAAAGGCAGCCUUGGUAGUAUACUUCUGACAACUCUUUCUAAAUAUUCUAUUUUAAACAUUCCUCAUCUCUCAAAAUAACACUGCCUUCUGGGAAACAAGCAUUCAAAACAUGAAUCCAUGAGAGAUAUUUCAGAUUCAAACCAACAUCUUCCCCUAGACCCUAAAGUCUCCUGGCCAUCUUAUAAUGCAAAAUGCAUCCAGUCCCAUUUCAAGAGUCCCCAGAGUGUUAACUGUCUCAACAUUAUUCAAAGGUUCAAAGUCAAAAGUCUCUUUUGAGACUCAAGACAAACUCACCUGUGAGAUCCUAUUAAAAAAAAUCAAAACCAAGUCACAUACUUCUAAAUUACAGGGGCACCAGGAAACAGCCCCACUACCAUGCCUGGGAGGGCAUUGAGGAAAGACUGAACCAAAGCAAGACUACCACCCAGCAGGGCAAAUAUUAAAUCCUAUAGCUUCUUGUCUGACCUCUAGGACACAUGUGCCAUGAUGCAAAUACUGCUGUUUGACAGCCCCUCCCCCACUGCUUUACUGUGUUCCACACACAUGGCCUCUCUCUUGGGCCAAGUUGGCACAGUGCCUACACCUUCCCUCAGCAGACUCCCAUGUUCCUGGCAUCUCCAACAUCCUGGGGUCCUCACUGCACCUUGGGCUUCACCUUCUCAACUUCAUACAUAGCCCAUUCGGGGUUCUCUGCAGGGAAUCUGACCCUGAUACACUUCACCUGGCUUCCCAGGUGUUCCUUUAAAAUCUAACUGUAAGGGGCUGGGGAGAUGGCUCAGUGGUUAAGCGCACUGACUGCUUUUCCAGACGACCUGGGUUCAAUUCCCAGUACCCAUAUGGCAGCUCACAACUGUUUGUAACUCCAAGAUCUGAUACCCUCACACAGACACACAUGCAGGCAAAACACUAAUGCACAUAAAAUAAAUAAAUAAUUUUUUAAAAUCUGACUGUAAGCCUCUAUGACCUCCAGAUCUCUUGCAUUCUUUAUGCUUGCAAAAGCCAUAACCACGUAGAUGGUCCCAAGUUCUACUACUGACUUGAGAAGCAGAGAGGCACCAGGCUGGACCAGGCUGCAGUGGUCCCUGCGUGUCUGGGGCUCAGCUGGAUUUAAGAAAAUGCUUACCUAGAUGCUUUUUUCCCAGUGGUGUGCCCUAGAGACCCCUUCUAGGCACUCUCUUUUUAAAAGGAAGUUAAAUGAGUAAAAGCCCUGGAUCCUUGACCAUUGGGAUCUCACCCUCGAGCACCUUUCCUACCAGCCCAGCACAAAGUGUGUGGCUUCUUUUUAAGUGUGCUAAUCUCUAACAACUAUAACCACUUGGUCUGUACUUUGCCUUCUCUGCAACUUUACAUACUCUUUUUAUCCAAACUUUUUCACGUUUCUGCUCCAGUUUUUUGUUUGUUUGUUUUGCAUCUGACUCUUACUGUGAACCUGCCUAAGAGGAUCUAGCAAUAGCCAUGCCACAACCUGAUGACUGUGCUGUACCAGGCUUUUUCUUUUGGGCCACCAACCAGCUUCCAAAUCAUGACACAGAGACUUCUUAUCAGUUUGGAAUGCUCAGCCUAGCUUAGGCAGGUCUCUGGCUAGCUCUUUUAACUUAAAUUAACCUGUUUCUCCCCUGGGAAGUCAGCCCAGCCUGAUAGAUUCAGUUGAGGCAGGUCCAGUCCCCUCCUCCCUACACCAAGGCUGAGCAAAGUGUCUCAGCAUAAGCCCUAGAUUCCAAAAAGCCAGCUCAUGUACCAAGGACAGGUCCUGGUCCCACUGCCUGGGGGCCUCCUAAACAGGUCAAGCUAAUUGACUGUCUCACUUAUCCAGAGGGCCUGGUCCAGUUCCAUGGGGGCUCCUCAGCUACUGGUUCACAGUUCAUGUGUUUCUGCUAGUUUGGCUAUUCGUCCCUGUGCUUUUUUCAAUCAUGGUCUCAAUAUCUCUUGCUCUUAUAAUCCCUCCUCUCUCUCACUGAUUGGACUCCUGGAGCUCCACCUGGGAUUUGGCCGUGGAUCUCUGCAUCUGCUUCCAUUAGUCACUGGAUGAGAGUUCUAUCAAUUAUUAAAAAAAAAAAGAAAGAAAGAAAAAGAAAAAGAACUAACCUGUUUCUUUUUAUCUACCUUUGUCUUGGGGCUUAUUACCUUUCUUACUUCUGUAUAUCUUACUCUCACUGCUUCUCUAUGUCUGCCUGGCUCCUGGUCCCAGGCAUCUCCCUCAUUCUCUCCUCCUUCUUCUCUCAUUUCUUCUCUCAAACCUAGAUUUCUUCUCCCAUUUAUUCUCUCUCUCCCUGCCAGCUCUGCCUACCCUUUUUUCCUGCCUAGCUAUUGGCCAGCCAGCUCUUUAUUAGACCAAUCAAGUGUCUUAGGCAGGCAAGGUGAAGCAAAUGCAACACAGCUUUUUAUAAUUAAAUAUGCAUUCUUACAUUGUUAAAUGCAGAAAACCCAAAUGUAACACACCUUUACACUGUAACACAGUCUUUACACAGAGUAAUACUCUGCAGCACAGACAAAUGUAACGCAUCUUCACAUGGUUAAAAUAAUAUUCUACAACACUAUGCUGUCCUUAAACUUCUUCUGCCCAAUUACCUGAUCCAUUAUUUUUUAUUGAGUCUCACUCAAAUUUUCAAAACACAAGCAAAUUAUAGGCAGAUUCGUGGCCAGACUAGUUACUACCCCAAUUCUCAGUAGAGUCCCACUUUGUUUCCUCUUGAAACCCCCAAGCACAGGCCUUAAUAUUCGUCUUUUUAUUGGUAUUCUGGUCUUCUGAACUCCCACCAGACUCACCCAUUAAAACCUGCUUAUAGCAUUAUAAUGUUCUUCUAGUCAGCAUCUCCAUAAUCUUCCAAAUUUCUCCUGCCAACCCAAUCCAAAAGCUGAAGAACCACAUAACCAGUUUUAGUCAGAAGUAACCACACUUCUCUGGUAUCGAUUUCUAUAUUAAUUAUUUUGCAUCACUAUGGCACAAUACUUGACAGGAACAACUUAUGAGAGGCAAUAUUUAUUUUGGCUCAUGGAUCUAGAGGAUUUCCAUCCCCCAUGGUGAAGAAGGCAUGGUGGUACUCAUGUCAAUAGAAGUUUGUGACAGCGGCUCCUCACAUCAUAGCAAACCAAGAAGCAGAGCAUGGGACGCAAACCAAGAGCUGGGUAUGACAUUCAAAGUCCCCACUGAGCUACUUACACUCUAAAAGCUUCACAAUCCCCAAAGCAGUGUCACCUGCCAGAGACCAAGUAUUCAAAACCUAAGUCUAUGGGGGACAUUUUAGAAUCAAAGCCCAAGUUCUCAAAUGUCUUAUUUUAAGAAAUGUGUCUCCAUUGGUUUCCAAAUAUCAUUGUUUUAUCCUUAGAUUUUCAAGAAAACUACUUUUCCUAGACUUACUGUAUUACAAAGACAUAAUUUCAA